rnacentral:rRNA from 1 species
UACGUAGGGUGCGAGCGUUAAUCGGAAUUACUGGGCGUAAAGUGUGCGCAGGCGGCUUCGCAAGUCGAGUGUGAAAUUCCCGAGCUUAACUUGGGAAUUGCGCUCGAAACUACGGAGCUGGAGUGUGGCAGAGGAAGGUGGAAUUCCACGUGUAGCGGUGAAAUGCGUAGAGAUGUGGAGGAACACCGAUGGCGAAGGCAGCCUUCUGGGCCAACACUGACGCUCAUGCACGAAAGCGUGGGGAGCGAACAGG